UUAGAGUUUGAUCCUGGCUCAGAACGUACGCUGGCGGCACGCCUAAUACAUGCAAGUCGAACGAAGUAGCAAUACUUAGUGGCAGACGGGUGAGUAACAUGUGGGUAUCUUCCCUUUGGUGAGGAAUAACACGAGGAAACUUGUGCUAAUACCUCAUAAGUCUUUACGGAGAAAGCUUUAUGCGCCAAUGGAUGAGCCCGCACUUGAUUAGUUUGUUGGUGAGGUAAUGGCUCACCAAGACUUUGAUCAAUAGCUGAUUUGAGAGGAUGAUCAGCCACAUUGGGACUGAGACACGGCCCAAACUCCUACGGGAGGCAGCAGUAGGGAAUCUUGCACAAUGGGGGAAACCCUGAUGCAGCGAUGCCGCGUGAGUGAAGAAGGCCUUUGGGUUGUAAAGCUCUUUCGUCGGGGAAGAAAAUGACUGUACCCGAAUAAGAAGGUCCGGCUAACUUCGUGCCAGCAGCCGCGGUAAUACGAAGGGACCUAGCGUAGUUCGGAAUUACUGGGCUUAAAGAGUUCGUAGGUUGUUAAAAAAGUUGGUGGUGAAAUCCCAGAGCUUAACUCUGGAACUGCCAUCAAAACUUUUUAGCUAGAGUUUGAUAGAGGAAAGCAGAAUUUCUAGUGUAGAGGUGAAAUUCGUAGAUAUUAGAAAGAAUACCAAUUGCGAAGGCAGCUUUCUGGAUCAUUACUGACACUGAGGAACGAAAGCAUGGGUAGCGAAGAGGAUUAGAUACCCUCGUAGUCCAUGCCGUAAACGAUGUGUGUUAGACGUUGGAAAUUUAUUUUCAGUGUCGCAGCGAAAGCAAUAAACACACCGCCUGGGGAGUACGACCGCAAGGUUAAAACUCAAAUGAAUUGACGGGGACCCGCACAAGUAGUGGAGCAUGUGGUUUAAUUCGAAGAUACGCGCAGAACCUUACCAACACUUGACAUGUUCGUCGCGACUUUAAGAGAUUAAAGUUUUCGGUUCGGCCGGACGAAACACAGGUGCUGCAUGGCUGUCGUCAGCUCGUGUCGUGAGAUGUUGGGUUAAGUCCCGCAACGAGCGCAACCCUCACUUUUAGUUGCCAUCAUUUAGUUGGGCACUCUGAAAGAACUGCCAGUGAUAAGCUGGAGGAAGGUGGGGAUGACGUCAAGUCCUCAUGGCCCUUACGUGUUGGGCUACACACGUGCUACAAUGGCAUUUACAACAGGAAGCAAAACGGCGACGUUAAGCAAAUCCUAAAAAAAUGCCUCAGUUCGGAUUGUACUCUGCAACUCGAGUACAUGAAGCUGGAAUUACUAGUAAUCGCGGAUCAGCGCGCCGCGGUGAAUACGUUCCCGGGUCUUGUACACACCGCCCGUCACACCAUGGGAGUUGGUUCUACCUUAAGGCAAAGGUUAAAAACUUUGACCACGGUAUAGUCAGCGACUGGGGUGAAGUCGUAACAAGGUAACCA
rnacentral:rRNA from 1 species